UCAGAACAAAACAAAAACUCCAUGACUUUAUCUCAGAAAGAGGCAAAUGAAACACAUAUGACUUCAUUUGACGAGGGGAGGUUAGAAGCACGCUUUGAACACUGACAAGCAUGUGUGGAACCGUAUGCUGAAAUAAUGGGCAGGAUCGUCUCCUCUUAUGACUCAGAGAGGAGCAGAUGGUCUGUGGGAGCGGAGAAGGACUUUUCCCUCCUGGGUGGAGAAUGGCACCGUGCUGAGGACUGGAGCUGGCAGGGGAUGGAGGGCUCGCCUGAGUUUGCAGCCCAGCACACACCUGGACGUAAAACAGGACGAGUGGUUGGGAGAGCAGCUCUGUGUACGCUAUGGAGGCCUUACAUCGAAUAUGCUGUGCACUAAUGCUAAGUGUAAGGUGGCCUAGUGGUAAAGAACCCUCCUGCCAAUGCAAAAGACGUAAGACACUUGGGUUCGAUCCCUGGGUCAGGAAGAUACCGUGGAGGAGGACAUGGCAGCCCACUCAGUAUUCUUGCAUAGAGAAUCCCAGGGACAGAGGAGCCUGGGGUUACAAAGAGUUGGACACAACUGAAGCGAUUCAGCACAUUCUAGCUUAGCGGUAAAGAAACUGCCUGCCAGUGCAGGAGAUGCAAGAGAUGCCAGUUCAGUCCCUGGAUCAGGAAGAUCUCCUGGCAAAGGAAAUGGCAACCAACUCCAGUAUUCCUGCCUGGAAAAUCCCAUGGACAGAGGAGCCUGGUGGGCUAGAGUCCACGGCAUUGCAAAGAGUUGGAUGUGAUUGAGCACACACAUGAGCAUAGCAUCUCUCUCUCUCCAUAUAUAUAUAAAAAUAUAAAAUCACUGAAUCACUUUGCUGUACAUCUGAAACUAACACAAUAUUCAAUUAAAACAGAAAGAAGCACAACUGUGUUUUAUAUACUGCUCUUGUAUCUUGCAAUCUUAAUGAGCUUGUUUAUUAGUUUUAACAGUGUUUGGGGGUGGAUUCCUUAGAAUUUUUCAUAUAGAUUACGCCAUCCACAAAAAGAUAGUUUUACUUCUUCCUUUCCAAUGUGAAUGUCUUUUAUUUUACUUUCUUAGCUAAUUACUUUGACUACAGUACGUUGUCUUACAGUACAACGUUUAACAGAAAUACAAUCCCUCUUUUUUAUCCCUUCUCUCUUCAACCAUUGACUUGAAAAGAUGAGGAGCCUCUAUGAAAUUGGGUUUUAAUAUGUAGUAAGAUUUUUUUUUUUUUUUACUAUUUGUUAAUAUUUUGGGCUAUCCUCAUAGCUCAGUCAGUAAAGAAUCUGCCUGCAAUGCGGGAGAUCCAGGUUCGAUUCCUGGGUCAGGAAGAUCCCCUGGAGAAGGAAAUGGCAACCCACUCCAGUACUCUUGCCUAAAGAAUUCCAUGGAGAGAGGAGUCUGGCUGGCUACAGUCCACAUGUCGCAAGAGUUGGACCUGACUUAGUGACUAAACCACCACCAAGAUAUUUUUCUCUUGUGUCUCUGCAGCAGGUUCAAAUAGUUGUACAGCUUUUGUCAGUCAUUCUUGGUCAAAACAAUUGGCCGAAACACAAACUAAAUGCAGAGCACGAGGGAGACAAACGAGGAGUAAACAAAUAAUCUGUAGAAGAGAGUCAAUUUAGGAUUACAUGAGAUUACAGGCAAAAGUAGAGGUUCAGAGUUUUUCUGAAUGGCAAAUUAGUACUCAUUAGCCAAGAAUGUAAUGUAGAUAGUGCUAGAAUUGGCUGAGGGCAUGAGAUAUCCUCAGAGGAUGAGCAAAAUAGGAGUGAACUAUUAUAGAGUAGUUUAUGUAAUAUAGGAAUUAUUUUUUAGGAAAAUAUUUCAUAAGCAAAUAGCGUUAUAAAAUCAGUACCCCACAGGGUUGUAAUACAGGAAAAUUAUGCAUAUAUGCUUAUAAGCCUUAUUUUCCAAAGGAUUCACAAGACAAUAUGAUUAUCUUAGGGUGAGGACUACAGUGGUAGGGAUGGAAUUUUAUACUUUUCUAACAAAGGUCCGUCUAGUCAAGGCUAUGGUUUUUCCAGUGGUCAUGUACAGAUGUGAGAGUUGGACUAUAAAGAAAGCUGAGCACAGAAGAAUUGAUGCUUUCAAAUUGUGGUGUUGGAGAAGACUCUUGAGAGUCCAGGAAAUCAGUCCUGAAUAUUCAUUGGAAGGACUGAUGCUAAAGCUGAAACUCCAAUACUUUGGCCACCUGAUGUGAAGAGCUGACUCAUUUGAAAAGACCCUGAUGCUGGGAAAGAUUGAGGGCAGGAGGAGAAGGGGAUGACAGAGGAUGAGAUGGUUGGAUGGCAUCACCGACUCAAUGGACGUGGGUUUGGGUGGACUCCGGGUGUUGGUGACUAACAGGGAGGCCUGGCGUGCUGCGGUUCAUGGGGUCGCAAAGAGUCGGACACGACUGAGUGAGUGAACUGAAAGUGAAACUGAGUUUUCUUUUUUUUAAACAUGGUUAGGUUAACUAAGUAGUGCUUAUGAACUACUUUAUUUCUUCUUUAUGUUUUUCUAUAUUUAAAAAGAAUGUAGUCUACCAAAUGCUAUGGCAAAAAAGAAACACCAGGUACAUUACAUAUGUAAUUAUGGGCCUGUCAAAGAGAAUUCUACCCCUCCCUUAGAAAUACUUGAGUGAUGAGUAACCAGAGAAUGGUCUGAAAAAUGAAGAAGGAAGGGUUAUUUGAGUCAACUCUUCAGGAUGUGUCUGUCAUCUUU